CGGAAGGGAUAAACGCUGAAGGCAUCUAAGCGUGAAGCCCCCCUCAAGAUGAGAUGUCCCAUUCGAAAGAAGUAAACCCCCUUGAAGACGACGAGGUAGAUAGGGCAGGGGUGGAAGUGCGGCAACGCACGGAGCUGACUGCUACUAAUAGGGUGAGGGCUUGACCAACAA
rnacentral:rRNA from 1 species